CUUUAUAAUAUAUGUUUUAUAUAAUCUAUAUUUGGGAUUACCUGCUGGAUUGGGUCAAAACAGGCAGCUGUACUUAUCUGUGGUCCAUUUGAUCUGUGAAAGGCAGGUCCAGGUCUUAGGACUCUUGAUUCCCUAAAGCUUAUGUGAACUUUAGUUUACAAAAGGAUGUACAUUAAUAUUUACCAUUAUAUUGAAAUCCGUAUUUUAGAAAUAUAGUUAAGAGGUAUCUGUUAGACAACAGGGGUAGACGCAUGCCUUUGGGGCCUGGUGAAAGUUCUAAGUUUCGGUUAAAAGGCACAGAACAUUUCCCCUCAGUCCAGAGGGCUGGAUACACAGAGUGAACAGAGAUGGUUUUAGCAUGGUGAGAAGCAUCUCUAAGUUUAUAUUCAGAAGGCAGCCAAAAGGAAACUAAAAUCUUAAGCUUGUGACUGAGUUGUAAAUGUUCCAUUAGCUUAUCAGAACUCCACUGAGUAAUGUUAAAAUUCUGAACUUUGAAAUAACAAUAGCAUGAGGGGGGAAUAUGAAACAUUUCCCCCUUUUCAUAUCUUAAAUCAUUUCUCACAUCUCUGUAAUUUGCAUUUAUAUGAUAUAAAACAUCUUCUCAGACCCUCCAACACUUAGAACUUGCAUUUGCCAACUUUAAACGUCUUUCAUCGGAAGCGUUUUUCUUUCUAAGUCGUCAUCAUCCACGCUCUCUUACACCCCCAACCUUCACUAUUUGCGUUACCAAUCUCAAACGUUUCCCCUAAACAUGUUUUCUUAGACCUUAACCUGCUGGAUUGGAUCCUAAAUCACCAGUGCCCGAGCUCGCUCGCUGUGCUGUCCUCUGGAGGGCCUGUCGCUCAGGACUCCCAACUUGAUCGCUCUGCGCAGACUCCUCCAAUCCUCCCUUCGUUCCGCCCGCUGCCAUCUCCGCUCCUCUGGAGGUUGGGCAGGCACGCACACAGGAUUUAAAUUUUGAAAAUUGAUUAACCACUGUCCAUAAUAUCAGAGAACUUCCAAGAAAAACUUUUAAAAACUGAAUCUUAAAAGGCAUUGGCGCCGGGCAAUGGUGGAGCAUGCCUUUAAUCCCAGCACUUGGGAGGCAGAGGCAGGUGGAGUUCUGAGUUCGAGGCCAGCCUGGUCUACAGGGUGAGUUCCAGGACAGCCAGGGCUACACAGAGAAACCAUUGGCUUUGGUUUUAUUUGUGUUUUCUUUAACUGCAAACAGGUUUUAGUUCAAGUUUACUUUAUACCAACACAUUCCUGGCUGUGCCUAACCUAGAACACUAGAAAAUAACCAAAAUUGAGGGUGUGUGGAAACCUGUAAUAGAAACCUGAUAUUUUCUGAAUUAAUUUAAUACAAUUGGAAGCACUGGAGAGAUGGCUCAGUGGCUUAAAGCUCUUAACUGUUCUUGAAGAGAACCUGAGUUUGGUUCCCAGGACCCAAAGGGCAGCUCACAAGUGUCAGUAACUCCAGUUCCAGCGCCCUCUGCUGGCCUUCUCAAGCACUGCAUCUAUGUGGUGCACAGACAUACAUAAAGGCAUACACACUUAAACACAAAGUAAAAACAAACAUACACACACAUACAUAAAUCGGGGGGUGCUGGAGAGAUAGCUCAGUAGUUAUGAGCACCUGAUGCUCUUGCAGGACCAUCUCUAACACCUGUUCUAGGAGACUGGAUAUUCUCUUUUGGUCUCUGUGGACACUGCAUGCAUGUGACAGAUAUGCAUACAUGCAAGCAAAACACUCAUGUACAUGUAAUAAAAAUAACUAAAAUUUUUAAAUCUUAAAUACACACACAUACACACACACACACACAUAAACACACACAUACACACAAACACACACAUACACACACAUACACACACAAACACACACAUACACACAUACACACAUACACACACAUACACACACAAACAUACACACACACAUACACACACAUACACACACACAUACACACACAAACAUACACACACAUACACACACAUACAUACACACACAUACACACACAUACACACACAUACACACAAACACACACGUACACACACAUAUACACACACACAAACACACACGUGCACACACGUACACACACAUACAUACACACACAAACACACAUGUACACACACAUAUACAUACACAUACCCACACACAUACACACACACACACACACACACACACACUGAGAUAGCUCAGCAUGUAAAGGUACUUGCUGCACAAACCUGACAGCCUGAGUUUAGUCACCAGAACCUCAUGAUGCUGGAAUAAGAGAACUGACUCUAGAGAAAACUAAGCUCCUGAGAGAACAUUGCUCCCCAUUCAAAGGCUUUGGCAAACACCUUGUACUGAGGGCUACGUGGAAAGUGACAUGAGCAGUGGCUUGAGAUGCUCCACAGGACAAGAAGUAGGCAAAUCCCGUGCAACCUGGCAUGUUCCUUAAAGAUUUGUUUUAAAGCUAGGCAAUGGAGGCACAUACCUUUAAUCCCAGGACUCAGGAGGCAGAAGCAGAGGCAGGUGAUCCUCCAAGUUCAAGGUCAGCCUGGUCAACAGAGAGAAUUUCAGGACAGCCAGGAAUUGGAU
rnacentral:lncRNA from 1 species